rnacentral:misc_RNA from 1 species
GGAUGUUGCCGUGUAACAAACGGCUCGUCUGAAAUGCCUGAGUGUACCCUGCUUUGCAGCGUAUUCGGUGUGAUAAAUCUUUACCGGAGUUGACUUUUCAAGUCGCGCUUGUAGCUGUAGGCUCUAUGCUUCCAACUGUCCAACAAGACAAUCUUUGACAAUUUGACCUCAAAUCGGGUGGGACUACCCGCUGAACUUAA